rnacentral:lncRNA from 1 species
AAGGUCACAUCAACUUAAAAGGAGGGAUCCAGAAGAUAUAGAUUGAAACAUAUCUAGUGUUACAUCCAAGUCAAAAUUUACUCAUUAAGCAUUUGAGAUGAAGAUCUAAAAGGAGGGAUCCAGAAGAUAUAGAUUGAAACAUAUCUAGUGUUACAUCCAAGUCAACAUUUACCUCAAAAGAAGGAUUCAGAAGAAAAAACAAGUUUCAGAACGGGCGUCGCAUCACCAUGGCAGGCAGGCAGAUCAGGCAUAUGAUUCAAAGCAAAAAUAUCAUGUCGCCUGUUGUGCUUUGCGGAUGAAUCCAGGAGGAAUAGAAACAUAUAGGUCCUUAUUUAACUAAAGAAUGUUACAGGUUAAACGUUAAGAUUAUCAUUCUCUUAGUCAUAACAAAGUAACGUGUCUACAAUAUUUUUGCAAAGAAUAAAGGGAGGGGAAAAGAAAAAAAGAAACAUGAAGUAGUAACUGAUACCAGUAGUUCUUGACAUCAGAUACCAACAUCCACCUUUAUCAGUGCUUCUAUUUCUAUCCCCGAUCACAGAGCAUGAGUGGUCAUGGAGGAGACUCCAUGUUGAACCUUUUAAAGUUAAGGAAUACAAGUAACGAGUUGUACGUAGACAUCUGAACCCACCAAAAUCACAUAUUAGGGCUCUUCAAGUUCAAGUGCUCGCCUCGCGUCAAUUACCAAGCAAUGCUGAACUCGCCUUGCUGAUAACUUAUGGCUGACAGUCAAAUUAACUUGGAUCUGGUGUGUUUUAUGAGUGAACCAUCCUUGCGGAAUGUAAGCUGGGUGCAUGGCUGAACUGGGAAGCUGAGUGUGAGAUGGCUAA